AGAGGAAGGUUGGAAACUUAAUAAAGCUCUCCAUAUUUUCAAAGCUCAAGUGCUCUCAAUUCUCUACCCUACCCAAGUCCUAGACCCUGCUGCCUACUUUGCUCACUUACAAUCUCUCUCAAUUCUCAUCUAAGCUUACUUAGUUCGACUUUGUCAAGCAAGUUAACUAAGUGUCACGCGACUUCACUAACCUCUAAGUCGAAGUUUUGUGACACUAAGCUUUGCAUGAGCUCAAGCUACCACCCGCAAACUGGUGGCCAAACCGAGGUUGUGAACCACGCUGGAGCAAUACUUAUGAUGUUUUGCAGGUGACCAACCAAAGAAAUGGUUUGAAUGGAUACCUUGGGCUGAGUUCAGUUAUAAUACUUCAAUUCAUUCCUCCACCAAAAUAACACAUUUUGAAGCUGUUUAUGGUGUUCCUCCACCAAAUUUACUGGCUUAUAUUUCGGGCACUUCCUGCAUUCAAGCAGUUGAUGAGUAUCUACGUGAUCAUGGCAUUAUUUUGCAACUGCUAUGUUAUAAUCUCUCUGUGGCUAGUCAGCGAAUGAAAAGUCAAGCAGAUAAAAAAUGACGUGAAAUCUUCUUUGAAAUUGGUGAUUUUAUGUAUCUUAAGCUCCAACCUUAUCGACAAUCUUCAAUAGCUUUUUGUGCUUAAAUGAAGCUUGCCCCGCGUUUUUUUGGUCCUUAUCAGAUUAUUGAAAAAGUGGGUACAGUAGCAUAUAGUUUCCAGUCAACUUCCACCAGUAUCAGAUGAUUCUAUCAUUCUUCCACAACCUGAAGUUAUACUUGAUCGGCAAGUCAUUCAAAAGGGAAAAUACCGACCAAAGUCUGAAAUUUUAGUCCAAUGGAAGGGAGCUCUAAAGGAAGAUGCUGCUUGGGAGAACGAAUGGCGUUUUACAAAGUCUUAUCCAGAUUUUCUCUUUGCGGGCAAGGAUCUUUAAGGAGGGAGGAAUAAUAUGUGACCAACCCUGCUUUCCACGUCCAAGACUUAGUCGGUAGCUAAUAAGUUAGUGAAUACUAAAUUUUAACAUGAUAUUUUCCUUUGGUAUUUGCAGAUAUGCAAUUCCUAACUUAUAGCAUUAUGGUUAUUUUCCAGUUGUAACACUAUUAUAAAUAGUUAGAAUUAUGAUCAAUAGAGAAGGGAGAAUCCCAGAAAUCUUCUUUUA